rnacentral:rRNA from 1 species
AUUGAACGCUGGCGGAAUGCUUUACACAUGCAAGUCGAGCGGCAGCGCGGGGCAACCUGGCGGCGAGCGGCGAACGGGUGAGUAACACAUCGGAACGUGCCCAGACGUGGGGGAUAGCCCGGCGAAAGCCGGAUUAAUACCGCAUACGAUCUAAGGAUGAAAGCGGGGGACUCGCAAGGGCCUCGCGCGUUUGGAGCGGCCGAUGGCAGAUUAGGUAGUUGGUGGGGUAAAGGCUUACCAAGCCUGCGAUCUGUAGCUGGUCUGAGAGGAUGAUCAGCCACACUGGGACUGAGACACGGCCCAGACUCCUACGGGAGGCAGCAGUGGGGAAUUUUGGACAAUGGGCGCAAGCCUGAUCCAGCCAUUCCGCGUGCAGGACGAAGGCCUUCGGGUUGUAACUGCUUUUGUUACGGAACGAAAGGUACGUUCUCUAAUACAGAGGCCCGAUGACGGUACCGUAAGAAUAAGACACCGGCGUAACUACGUGCCAGCAGCCGCGGUAACG